CGCCUUGCCAGCCCGCUACAGAAACUUAAAGGAAUUGACGGGGCCCGCGACAAGCGGAGGAGCAUGUGGUUUAAUUCGAUGAUACGCGAGGAACCUUACCUGGGCUCGAACGUAAGAUGACUGUAGGUGAAAGCUUACAUCUCUUCGGAGCAUUUUACGAGGUGCUGCAUGGUUGUCGUCAGCUCGUGCCGUGAGGUGUCGGGUUAAGUCCCAUAACGAGCGCAACCCCUACCUUAGUUGCCAUCAGGUUAAGCUGGGGACUCUAAAGGAACUGCCUACGCAAGUAGUGAGGAAGCGGGGAUGACGUCAAAUCAGCACGGCCCUUACGUCCAGGGCUACACACGUGCUACAAUGGCCGAUACAGAGGGCAGCUACCUGGUGACAGGAUGCAAAUCUCCAAAGUCGGUCUCAGUUCGGAUCGGAGUCUGCAACCCGACUCCGUGAAGUUGGAUUCGCUAGUAAUCGCGCAUCAGCCAUGGCGCGGUGAAUACGUUCCCGGGCCUU
rnacentral:rRNA from 1 species